rnacentral:rRNA from 1 species
ACGGAGGAUGCGAGCGUUAUCCGGAUUUAUUGGGUUUAAAGGGAGCGCAGACGGGAGAUUAAGUCAGUUGUGAAAGUUUGCGGCUCAACCGUAAAAUUGCAGUUGAUACUGGUCUUCUUGAGUGCAGUUGAGGCAGGCGGAAUUCGUGGUGUAGCGGUGAAAUGCUUAGAUAUCACGAAGAACCCCGAUUGCGAAGGCAGCUUGCUAAACUGUAACUGACGUUCAUGCUCGAAAGUGUGGGUAUCAAACAG